GACGAACGCUGGCGGCGUGCUUAACACAUGCAAGUCGAACGGAAAGGCCCUGCUUUUGUGGGGUGCUCGAGUGGCGAACGGGUGAGUAACACGUGAGUAACCUGCCCUUGACUUUGGGAUAACUUCAGGAAACUAGGGCUAAUACCGGAUAGGAGCUCCUGCUGCAUGGUGGGGGUUGGAAAGUUUCGGCGGUUGGGGAUGGACUCGCGGCUUAUCAGCUUGUUGGUGGGGUAGUGGCUUACCAAGGCUUUGACGGGUAGCCGGCCUGAGAGGGUGACCGGCCACAUUGGGACUGAGAGACGGCCCAGACUCCUACGGGAGGCAGCAGUGGGGAAUAUUGCACAAUGGGCGGAAGCCUGAUGCAGCAACGCCGCGUGCGGGAUGACGGCCUUCGGGUUGUAAACCGCUUUCGCCUGUGACGAAGCGUGAGUGACGGUAAUGGGUAAAGAAGCACCGGCUAACUACGUG
rnacentral:rRNA from 1 species